rnacentral:rRNA from 1 species
UACGAAGGGGGCUAGCGUUGUUCGGAAUUACUGGGCGUAAAGCGCACGCAGGCGGAUUGAUAAGUCAGGGGUGAAAUCCCGGGGCUCAACCUCGGAAUUGCCUUUGAUACUGUCUGUCUUCGAGUUCGGGAGAGGUUGGCGGAAUUCCUAGUGUAGAGGUGAAAUUCGUAGAUAUUAGGAAGAACACCAGUGGCGAAGGCGGCCAACUGGCCCGAUA